UCUCAGCAGAAAUCAAGCUGUCCUAAUGAAAGAACUCAGUGGGGAAACCCCCACUCAGCUCCCGAUUCGGCGUGCACCCAAGAAUCACGAAUAGAACA
rnacentral:pre_miRNA from 7 species